rnacentral:rRNA from 1 species
UACAGAGGUCCCGAGCGUUGUUCGGAUUCACUGGGCGUAAAGGGUGCGUAGGUGGCGAGGUAAGUCGGAUGUGAAAUCUCCAAGCUUAACUUGGAAAUGGCAUUGGAAACUACCUGGCUAGAGGUUUGGAGGGGGGACUGGAAUGCCUGGUGUAGCAGUGAAAUGCGUAGAUAUCGCUUGGAACGCCGACGGUGAAAACAGCUCGCUGGGGAUUCGCUGACGCUGAGACACGAAAGCCAGGGGAGCAAACGGG